UACGUAGGGGGCGAGCGUUGUCCGGAAUUAUUGGGCGUAAAGGGCGCGUAGGCGGCUUUGCAAGUGGCGGGUGAAAUCCCUCGGCUUAACCGAGGAACUGCCUGCCAGACUGUGAGGCUUGAGACCGGGAGAGGUGAGUGGAAUUCCCAGUGUAGCGGUGAAAUGCGUAGAUAUUGGGAGGAACACCAGUGGCGAAGGCGGCUCACUGGACCGGAACUGACGCUGAGGCGCGAAAGCGUGGGGAGCAAACAGG
rnacentral:rRNA from 1 species